CCUACGGGAGGCAGCAGUGGGGAAUAUUGCACAAUGGGCGCAAGCCUGAUGCAGCAACGCCGCGUGAGGGACGAAGGCCUUCGGGUUGUAAACCUCUUUUAGCAGGGAAGAAGCGAAAGUGACGGUACCUGCAGAAAAAGCACCGGCUAACUACGUGCCAGCAGCCGCGGUAAUACGUAGGGUGCAAGCGUUGUCCGGAAUUAUUGGGCGUAAAGAGCUCGUAGGCGGUUUGUCACGUCUGCUGUGAAAACCCCGAGGCUCAACCUCGGGCUUGCAGUGGGUACGGGCAGACUAGAGUGCGGUAGGGGAGAUUGGAAUUCCUGGUGUAGCGGUGGAAUGCGCAGAUAUCAGGAGGAACACCGAUGGCGAAGGCAGAUCUCUGGGCCGUAACUGACGCUGAGGAGCGAAAGCAUGGGGAGCAAACAGGCUUAGAUACCCUGGUAGUCCAUGCCGUAAACGUUGGGAACUAGAUGUGGGGACUAUUCCACGGUCUCCGUGUCGUAGCUAACGCAUUAAGUUCCCCGCCUGGGGAGUACGGCCGCAGGCUAAAACUCAAAGGAUUGACGG
rnacentral:rRNA from 1 species